rnacentral:rRNA from 1 species
AUACGUAGGUGACAAGCGUUAUCCGGAUUUACUGGGCGUAAAGGGCGUGUAGGCGGUCUUUCAAGUCAGAAGUGAAAUUCCUGGGCUCAACUCGGGUGCUGCUUCUGAAACUGCAGGACUUGAGUGCUGGAGGGGAUGGCGGAAUUCCUAGUGUAGCGGUAAAAUGCGCAGAUAUUAGGAAGAACACCGGUGGCGAAGGAGGCUAUCUGGACAGUAACUGACGCUGAGGCGCGAAAGCGUGGGGAGGAAACAGGAUUAGAUACCCUGGUUGUCCACGCCGUAAAUGAUGAAUACUAGGUGUAGGGGGUAUCGACUCCCUCUGUGCCGCAGUUAACACAAUAAGUAUUCCGCCUGGGGAGUACGGCCGCAAGGUUGAAACUCAAAGGAAUUGACGGGG